CAGCCCUAAACGAUGCGCGUUAGGUGUAUCGGUGACCACGAGUCACCGAGGUGCCGAAGGGAAACCGUGAAACGUGCCGCCUGGGAAGUACGGUCGCAAGGCUGAAACUUAAAGGAAUUGGCGGGGGGAGCACCACAACGGGUGGAGCCUGCGGUUUAAUUGGACUCAACGCCGGGAAGCUCACCGGAUAAGACAGCGGAAUGAUUGCCGGGCUGAAGACCCUGCAUGACCAGCUGAGAGGAGGUGCAUGGCGUAGUCGUGU
rnacentral:rRNA from 1 species